AAGGCUCAGUCCGACGUUUCAGUUUAUUCAUUUCAAAAAAAGAUAAUUAUGACUUUCUUGAAUAUUCUUAUUUGCAGUGUUUAUCAGGAGUUUAUCAUAUUGCGAUUAUUUCAACAGAUUUCGUGAUAUGCGUUUUGAUUUUUGUGUGAUUUCUGCUGAGGAUGUGAGUUGUCGCUGUAGCACCACAAUGUUUCUUCCAUAAUCUCAUGUUGUGACACAUUUUACGUUUCUCAAAAAUAACUUGCAGCUCCUCUUAUUUACGAUUAUUACGAUAUUACGAUUAAUCUUUCAGCACGAAUAGUGUUAUGAAGAUGCAGAAUCUUCCUCCGGCUGCUGAUCGUGAUCUGAUCAUGGGCAUGUUGAAGUUAUGUUGUUUAUGAAUGAAUAAGGUGUUUAAGUUUUCAAAUCUUUCUGGCAACAAUCAACAAAAAAUUCUAAUUUCUUCAUAAUUUCUUCCUUCUUCAGACGAGGGCCAGCUGAGCCACGUGUCCUCCUCCGACAGCCUGAGCGGCGGACGCACCAGCAGCGACUCGGGCCGAGACGCGUCGGAGGGGCCGGGGCCGCUGAGCGUCCCCUGCGACGCGGCGGGACCCAGGCUCAGCCCGGAGAGGCGGGGGUCCGGCCCGGGGCCGGGGCCCAUCGUGGCCCGGAGGAAGAGCUCGGACACGGGCCGGGCGAGCAGAGCGGGCUCCUGGCAGGAGCGGAGGUCGUGCAGCUCGCUGUCCGAGAGGGAGGCGGCCGGCUCCCCGCUCAGCAACGGCUGCGGCAACAGCGUGGGCGAGGAGGAUCAACACGUGACGGAGAAGUGCGACGUCCGGUCCAACGGGGUCGACCACGGCGAGGACGCGUGUGCCGCCGCCGCCGCCGUCAUCAGCACCGGCCCGGUCAACGGCAGCGCCGACGCCGAGUGCUAGAGUGGAACGCAAAGAGGAAUCCUGGAAGUUGGUUUGUUUCUCUCCCCGUCGUCACAUCCUUGGCUUUUAUUGAUCGACCCGACGGAUGUCACUGAUAUUUUUUACGCUCGGAUCAAAUGAUUUCAGGUGUGAUUACACCUCGGAGGUUUUGGGGUUUUCUUUCAAUCGCCGGGUCAGAAACCAAACGGAAAUUUAGACUAUUUAAGUAUUAUACACUAAAUAUUUCAAAACAGUUGAAACGUCAACAGCUCUGGCGUUUCUCCACACGUCUAAAAAUCAUGCGAGUGCGAGUCCAGAGUUUGAAGGUCACGGCGAAUGUGUUCUGGUGUGAACGCAGCCUGAGAAGUGGAGCCGUUGCAGAAACAUUGACGGUUAAUGUUCAUUAUAACUGACAGACGGAGCAUGAAUAUACACCGCCAAUUCAAAAUAAAGUUAUCAGCUCCACUUUUUGCAAAAUUUUAAAUAUUCACAUGAGCUGCUCAGUAUUUAUAUGAACUCCGUAGACGGUAAAUAAAGAUGGAGGAUGCUAACGUGGAGGAGGGGGCGGGGCUUACGUCCCAUACUGUACACAGCCACCUCGGGGUGUUUGCCGGGUCAGGAACCAAAUAGAAAAUGUGGACUUUGUCGUAUUGCUAAGUAUUAUACACAAAAUACAUAAAAAACAGCCUGACAGUGGAAACGUCAUCAGCUCUGGUCCGAGCGUUUCUCAACACGCUUACAAACACGUCUAAAAAAACGUUUUUUUUCUUGAAGCGCGAGUCCAGAGUUAUAACGUCCUGGUGAAUGUGUUCGGUGUGAACGCAGCCUGAGAAGUGGAGCCGUUGCAGAAACACUGACGGUUACUGUUCGUCACAACUGACAGACCGAGCAUGAAAUUAAAAAUAAAGUUAUUAGCUCCACUUUUUUUUAGCAAUUUACAAUAUUCAUAUGAGACAAACGUGGAAAUAGAAAUGUGAUGAUUCAGCGGGUUUUCUUUUGAGCAAGAGGUUUCUCCAACAACAGCAGAGGCAGCCGGCCGGUUUCCAUCCUGCUCUUAUGCACAUUUAGAAUUUGGGUAUUAAAGGAAUUGUAAAUGCCAGAAAUUUUAAAAAGUUUAGUCUUUAAAGUUUCAUAUUAAAUCAUGAAUCAAUUUGUGUUUUCUAGAUGUUGUACGCGGUCACUGACCGUGCCCCCUCUGCUCCGCCACCAGCUGUUUAUCUUGAUUAACUUGUGAUAUUUGGAUGGAAAAUGUGCAUGAGUUCACAUUUUCUUUUUGGAAUUCGAUUGAGAUUCACACCACACGUGGAUGGAAACCCGCCCGGUCGCACGACUCAACUGAACCACGGCAAACAGAAAUGUUCUCAGGGUCCACGGGGACAAAACAUUUCACCAAACCCCAAAGAGCCUUUGUUUGUUUAGUUUGUUUUUUAAAACUCGCGGUGAAAUAACCAAAUGGGUAGAAGGUGCUUGUUCCCCUCGCCUACCUCUGCACGGACACCCGCCUCUAAACCCCAGUCGUCCUGAGCAACGUCCCCCCGUGUUAAAUCUCACCUCUCCUCGUCUGCGUCGUCGCGUCUUCGUCGUGCCUCCACCAGAGAUCAGACGUCUUCCUCGCGCCUCCCUCCUCCGCUGACGUUUCACCGCACAUCCCUUGACUUUUUUAUUUUGGUUCAGCCUGCUGUAAUGUAAAUAACUCUCCUCCUCCUGACACGUGACGCAACACGGAGAAUCAUUUUUUCGAAGAGUAUGCAAAUUACACGAGGCGCAUUUGUACGACGCCGUCACACACCUUGUCGAUAUUUCUUAAAAACACAGACUCACGUUUAACAAGUGCAUUUCUGUUCCGUUCGUAUGUUUUGAUUCUGAUGCAAAGGAGCAGAUAUUAACGAGCCCGACUGUCGUUCAUAUCCAGGAUGUUUCCGGGUCCUCGUACUUUACUGAUACUGCAUAGUUGUCAACCCCCCGUGUCUUUACUUACAGGGACUUCCUGUAUCUGACAAAGAGUUUGGGUGACUAUAGAUAUUGUGUGUGUGCGUGUGUGUGUGUGUUUGGGAUAUAAAUGGAGUGUUAAAGGGUUUUUUAAAAAGAACGUGGAUUUUCAUUUUAGCAUCACUUGAAAUAAAAUUGCAAUUCAAACUAAAGCAAGUAUUGUUUGUCUUUAUCUGGGGGGUACGGGGGACAAAAAACACAUGAAAAAGUACAAACCUGCUUAAACCUGCAUUCAAUUUUUUUUGCCACUUGGGGGCAGCAGCACAACAAGAUGCAGGCACUGGAUGACAUAUUAUCACCAAGGAAACAGGAAGAUGUCAUCGUUUAAGAGCAGACUAAUAACCACAAAUCAAUCCUACAUUUUCCUACAUAAUUAUUUUUAUUUUUUUAUUUUGAAACUCAUGACAGAAUAUUUUAUGCAUUUUUUUUUAAACUGCCCUCAGAGAGAUCCACAACUACCACGUGCAACA
ensembl:lncRNA